UCCUUCUUAGCUCAGUUGGUAGAGCGCGUCACUAGUAUCUUAUGCGAUGACGAGGUCAGUCGUUCAAGUCGGCUAGAAGGAA